CGCCUGCACCGCAUUUUCUUCGGAAAGUGCAGUGCAGGUCAGGGUGAAACGGUGCGGUAAGAGCGCACCAGCACCCCAGGUGACUGGGGUGGCUAGGUAAACCCCGCCCGGAGCAAGGUCGAAGGCCGAACCUUUUUCGAAAGGUCCGGCUGCGCAGGUGUUCGAGGGCUGCUCGCCCGAGCCUGCGGGUGAACCGCUCGAGGCACCCGGCGACGGUGUGCCCAGAUGGAUGGUCGCCACUCGGCACUUCGGUGUCGCAGGACAGGAUCCGGCUUACACGCCGACUCGUCCG
rnacentral:RNase_P_RNA from 1 species